CUCGAACAUAUUCAGAUUUUUUUGAGAAGACAGAUGUAAACGAUUUACAUACGUAAUUGCCUUACACAUUCGCAAUUUAUAAUAUUUCAUUUCGCCUAUUUUCCUUCCCCUAUAGGUGCACUUGUGGGUAACGCCGCGCAACUGCUGCAGAAGAAUUGCACCCGUACUUUGCUGAUUUAGUUCCGUUGGAAGAACAUAGCUGACCCCGUUCUAGAUGGUCUUGUUGCUCAAUCAAUAGAAAUACAAGCUUGUCCAGUUGAAGAUGAUGUCAUACGGAAUGAUGACAACAACCAUUGACCAAAUAAAUCGUAGAGAGGCAACAAAGGUGGACCUCGUCAUCGAGGUUUGCAUCACGUUGAAGGCAGAGAAGAAUAUUAUAGGGAUCCGAUCAUUGAAAGACCUAUGUCUUUAGAUGAGAUAAGAGCUAUCUUGAACGAACAACGGGAGGCAAUUGAGAGCAAGAUGGGCAAUUUGAUGGAAGAGAUGAACGCUAGAUUCGCUAGUCUCCAAAAUGAUCUGGGAGACCAUGUGUGUGGUUUGAGAAAUCAUGUCACUGAUAAGAUCAAUGUGCUUCGACGAAGGUUUGAUGAAGUUGCUACAGAAAUUGGGCAACACAAUCUUGCUGAUGAGUAUGGUGGAUUUGGUCAUGACGAUUGUGGUGGAGACGAGCCCCGACGUGACAGACAGGAUGUUGGAGAGGCAACCGAAUCAGUUGUUUGCAAUAUCCCUAAUGUGUCCAUAACUUCGGGAGGUGGGGUUGGCGUAUUUGGGUCAGUAUACGUUGCUUGUGAUAUUGUGAAAGAGGCACCAGCCAUUGUACCUACAGUUGGUGUGACUGUUGAUGAUCAGCCGGUUCAUGAUACUGUCGUUAUUGGACCUUUAAUGGUUGUUGAUCCACCUAUACGUAGACCUCGAUUGCUGAGGUUGAAGAAGGCUAGUGCGAACACAAAGACGCCAUACACCCGAUCUGGUCGCAAGAGGGGUAAGAGGGAUGCGUAGUCUGUGUAUUUUGGUUGACGGCACAUAAUGGUGAUUAGAUAUGAACUUCAAGUUGAUUCAAAUUUAGAGGUUCGCAUAUUUUGGUUUAUAUGGUGGUUUUGCAAUAUAUAUUUUGGUUUAUGUCAUGGUACGUAAUAUGUAUUUUGGUUUACACAGUGGUUUGCAUAUUUUUGUUUAUAUGGUGGUAUGUAAUAUUUUGUGGAUGCAAACUUAUGGUUUAUAUGUUAGUGGCAUGUUCGAAAGGUUGUAUGUUGAAAAUAUUUUAUAACUUUAUUAUCUCCUAUAGUGGACCAGUAUUAUGCAUUAAUAAAUAUUCAGACUAAUCGGC
rnacentral:lncRNA from 1 species